CCACGGCAAGUUAAAUCCAGGCAAUUGCUGAACUCGAAAAUCCAAGGAACCAGGUGGUGCGGGCGGCGUCCAGAUCCAAAAGCUAAGCUUUCUGAUGAAAAGACGGACGCAUGCUGCCGUGCUCUACACAACUGUAAGGAAAUCAUCCCAGGUAACAGCAGGUCACACGAGUUGUACAACUACGACAACUAUACGCUUCCGAGCUGUAAAUGCGUCCAUGCCUUCCGAAGCUGCCUGAAGAGAACCGACAGUGAAAUGUCAAAAACAG